CUACUUCUGCACACCACUACGAAGAAGACAUGGAAAGAACAGGAAAAACAGUCUUAUUCACAUAGGGAAUUUCCAUUCCUUAUUGGGCAUUGCUUCAAGACAGACUUGGGAAAGCAAGUUGAUGACCAUAUUAUUGGAGGCAAAAGAGGACGUCAGGUAGGAUAACUUGUCAGCAUUGCAAAGCAACAGUCUUAAAAGACCUCAGAGAUGAUAUGCAUAGCCUCUGCUGAAGGCCUUCAUAGUAGGCAAUGUGAAGCCUGAGGAGUGCAGGGGGUGACAACCCCAAGAGGCAAGAGAGGAUGCAAAGUAAAGGAUGCCUGCUACUAUCCCAUAUCUUUGAGUGCUAUAAAUCAGAGAUGGCACUAUGCUGGAACACAGAUGGGUGAAAGCUGGGGCAUGGGCUCAUACACUCAGCUCAAGGCCACAAGUGCAGUGGAUCAUCAGUAGCCCAGGACACUGAAGUCACAGUGUCUGAUGUGAGAGUCACCCUCAAUCACUGUGUCAGAGUCAUUCUGGUGAAAUCUCACACAAUCCCACACCAGCCAGCAGAAGCCAUCCAACUUCCAGACUGCCCUCCCAGACCAGGGUCCAACCAAGAACCCUCAGAUGACUCCAAUGACACUAAUUUGGAGUGCUUCGACCUAACAAGUCAACCCUUCACAUAGAGUGCAGAUUCAGAGAGUGCUCCAAAGAGGAGAAAACAAGGAUUGAGUCCCUAUCUAAAGACAGGGGCUGCCAUUUGUUUCUAAUCACCUGGAGAGUCUGCCACAAUUAAACCAGCUCUAUUGAAAUCAGAAGUCACAUAACUUCACAUAUUUUGCCACUUCCGUUUAUGCCCUAGCUUCCCUCCUGGGAUCCUCAUUUCUCUUCUUGGCUUGACUUCACCCAUGAUUACUUUAAAGCCUAGAUACAAAAUUUCCUCACUGUCAAGAAUUAUUUUUUGUAGUGUUUGGAGAGACCCAAAAUUUCAUCAGGAAGUUUGUUUUUUCAAAGAUGCAAUAGAGUCACAGAAUUUCCCAGCUUGAGGGGAUUUGAGACAUUCAUAAAAUCAUAGACAUCUGGACCUGGAGGAGCUUUAGACCAAUUCUUUCUGUCUGAAAUCACUCUUUCCAAGCCUCCUCUCAUUGUUUCUGUGACAUCCAAUGCCCUGAUUUCCUUCUUAUCUUUUUGGCGACUCCUGAGUCUCCUUUGCAGACUAUUCUUUCUAGGGCUACAUCUUCACACUCUUGCUCACUCUAGAUCCCCAAGUGAGCUCAUCCAGACCUAUGGCUUUAAAUACCAUCUACAUGCUGAUGAUUCCCAAAUUUAUAUUUCCAGCCCCAUAUUCUCCACUGAGUUUCAAGCUCACAUAUCCAGCCAUGCAGAUGGAAAUGGCUCCACUGUACACAGUCCUUACCUAGCCGAAGAAAUACUGUAGACCGAAGAAAUACUGUCUCCACCAGGCCCCGCCUAAAUUGGUAGGUUCAUGAGCAAAAUAAUUGCUGUCAUUGUUUGAGCCACUAAGUUUCAUGGUGGUUUGUAACAUAGCAGUGGAUACCUGGAACACAGCGGAAACCCCCUUCUCAGAACUCCCCUCUCUGAGCAUCCUAAGCGUCUUUUGGCUUCCUCCAUGACUUAAAAGUUAUUAUUAACCUCAAUGCCUAGCCUGGAGCCAGGCACACAGGAGGAGCUCAAUAAAUAUUUAUGGUAUGAUUGGAUGAGUGAGUAAAUCCUCUUGUCACAUUUGAAGUUUUCAGCCACUGAUAAAAGCAAGGUUUGUUUAGUCAUUUGCAGGGUGGUGACAACAAGCAUCAAUUCAAAUAGAGGAAAGGAUCGUUAAGGAGUGUGCUGUCCUGGUACCACUAUGCAGGAGCGGGGGCAGACUUUCUGAUCACCAGUCAGAGCCCAGAUGACCAGAAGUCGUGUGCAUCUGGGAAGGUAGAUGGGAAUGUCCCAACCAUCCUAGUACUGUGUCAAUACAGGAGACAAUAUGCCUUUUCUUUGUUGAGGAAGCAAAGGACUCUUUUUGUUGUCUGUCAUGCCCCAAAGCAUGUAUCUUUCUCAGAAGUGGGGAUAUUCUCAAUUUGGGAGAUAGAAGACAGGGGAUCGAGGCAAAGAAGUUUCAAAGAAUCAGUCUUGCAGGAGAUGCUGCACUUUGGUGGUGCUGAUAAUGACAACAUGUCAGAGGAUUGAGUUUCAGGCAGGUUCCUUGGGGCCCUGUUCAUCGCUUUCUGCUCUGAUGUGUGGUUUCCUUGGUGACAGGAUGGCUGCUGGGUGGACAGAAGCUUUGGGGCCACCUGACUAGCUCUGACACUAACAGGCUUUGACAGCUUUGAUUGGGAUGAAAAAGGGUCCCUACUGGCUUUUUAAAUUAAACCCUCUCUUCUGGCAUGAGUUUGUUUAUAAAUGUUGCAUUGGAUGAGGAGAAUUUUCCUGUGCACAGAGCUCCUUUACCAUAGAGGCUGACUUGUUGGAGCUGCUGGCAGAGUUUCUAAGGUCAGGCACCCCCAAAGCAGCCCAGCCAGGCGGGGUUACACCCUGGUCUGCCUCUCAAGCAAUGCCUCUGACAGCAUGGACCAGUCAGUCGCAGUAGGAACACAGGAGCCACUGCAGUUAUUUUAACAGAGGGAAUUUAAUCUAGGCAACAUGUGAGGCAGGUAUGGGAGGCUGAAAAGGCAAAAAAAAAAAAAAAGAGAGAGAGAGAGAGGAAUAUCAAGGUAAAAACAAGGGCAGUGACUGCAGGAAACAGCUCCAUUUCUGGGGAGCAAAGGAGGGAGAUGGGAGUUCCAGUCAUUUAGAGGCUUGGAACAGGAGCCUGCAGAGCUGAGACCCAGACCCCCAUUGAGGGGCAACUGUCUAGUAUCUCUGAGGCUGGUGCUGGAAGCAUAGAAACAACUGGCAAUUGGAACACACUGCCAUUGGAAGGAACUGUCACAGCAAGGUGAAGAGUCACUGCUGGAGUGAUACUCAGAGGAACAAGCAGCAGGGAAGGAGCAAGCCCACUCCCAGCCCCUUACGGACAGAGCCUAAGCUGGAGCUGGCUGUGGUUUGCAGCAUCCUGGCCCCAGCCUCACAGAGUAUAGAAGGUAGGUUUGAGCUGAGUGAUGUCAGCUUCAUAACCAGCAGUGGGAGGGCUGAAGAAGACAAUCAUAGUGGGAGGCCAGAUGGAACACCUGGCCAGGGACAUCCAGGCCUACCCACUCACUAUGGAAAUCAUCCAAUGUUUACUGAGUUCUUUGCACAUUACAGGCAGCUUUUUACGUUAUCUUAUCUAAAAGUAGGUAAUGGUAACUGCCAGCGUGUUCUAGCACUGAGAAAUAGAGACUAUCCCCAGCUUCCAAUGUUGGUCCCUUUCGCCUCAGCCUUGACCCUGAGCUCUUGCUCUCACAGCCUGGAAUAGCUUGAUGCACCCUGACCUGUGCUCCCCUCAUCCAGUGCACUUCCCAGAUCUGGAAGUUUUCACCUUGUUCCUCUGGAGCAGAUGGACAGGUUCCCAAGCAGGACGUCACCUUGUCCCCAGCCCUGUUUCAGCUAGAAUAGAUCCACAGCAUUUUCUUCUCACACUGGGUUUCCAAGCCAGCUUACAUUUGAAGAGAAGGUUCUACAGGAAACAACAGCUUGGAAAACCCUUACCCUAGUGAAGAAUCCUUCAACCUGCCAGCUGCCAUUGAGCCAGCAAGGCUCACUUCCCAUGGUCUCCUCUUCCGAGAUGUCCUCUGUCUCUACCAGCCUCAGGCAAAUGUCAGUCCCUAUUUGUCCCCUACAGAAGCUAACUGUCCCCCAAAUCCCUCUAAAGUUUUCUUCCAAAGGUAUGUUGGUGGGUGGUCUGCUGAGUGCUCUGUCUCUGGGCACAUGGUUGUGCCUGUUUGCAUGUAGUGUAGUUUGAAGUACUAUUUUUUUGUUCACUUAUUGGUUGGUGUGUUUUUCCCCAAAAAGCCUUUUAAUCCACCCUAGAGGAAGGAAAGGGUAGAGAAGGGAGUGACUCGGUAAAAAGAAAGAGUAGUAUUUUUCCUGUCCCAGAUGGACCCUAGGUCCACACUUGCCUGUAAGGUUUGCAAAAGUAUAAACAGAGGCAGUUUGCCUGCAUUCCCACCUUUGCUUCCCACCCCCAACUCCACCCAGCAGGCAGCAAACAAACACCUCAUCCCCACUUGUCUAAAUUCUACCCAAAGUCUUGCUAAAAACAGCUGCCCUUGGUUGUCCCUGAGGCCUCGGCGAGCUCACCACAGACAGAAUAGAUGCAGAAGAGGCUCAUGCAGCCCUGGAAGAGGCUGGGACAUUUAGGCAGAGAAUUUUGGAUCCCAGGUACCCAAGGGAUGGGACAGUCAGAAAAGACUGGCCCUGGUUGGCAUAGACUUGGCCCUUGGCCCUUCUCAUCCAGUGUGGAGGGAUUGACUCCUACCAGAGCCAAAGCAGGGCACCUGAAACAACGGUCGAGGACUGCAGCCUGAGAGAACAAAAGAGGCUUCCCUGGGCACAACGGAGCCCAGAAGGAGGGGUGGCCAUGCAGCCAGGCUCCUUCUGAAGUCCCCACCCAAGCAAGCACUCCUAAACCAGUGUGAGAAGCAACAGACGUCAAGGUAUGGGCCAGUGCUCCAUUGCAGCAUCCCGUGGCAGAGGUGGCAAGAGUGGCUGCAGCCAUGCAGGCUGGCCUGGGGCAAAGGGCCAGUGCCGUUUGCUUAGACAGAAGCCUGGGGGAGCUCUGCUCGGGCCUGCACAGGCCCCAGCAUCCAGCAACUCUGUGGAGGAGGCAGGCUUCCAGAGAUGAACAAUGGGCCCUGCCCUGGCUCGGCCAAUGCUAGGGCUGGCAGCAGUGGGGGCAGAGAGGAAGGGAAGGAGAUACCUGGUUGUAUAUUAAUUCUAGAAAAGCCCAAAUAUGACAUUUCCUCACCUUGUUGCGCUCGCCAAUUUUAGGCACCUUCCCUGCUCUGCCCAACAUCCCCACUCUCCUACACUCAGAGUUCUUGAGUUUACUGCCCUUUAUUUUAAUACCUAAUACCUUUCUUUAAACCUUUUCCCACGGAGAAAUUCAGCAAAGGCAAGAGCAGAUGGAGAGUACCCCCACAUGUGAACCCCCACACGCCCCUCACCAGGCUCAGCAUCGUCAGUUCAGAGUCCAUCCUGUUCCACCCAAGCUCCCGCCUCUGUCUCCCCUCCUGUAUUAUUUUGAGGCAGGGUAUGUCUCUUUAAAAUGAUUCCUUUUUUUUUUUUAAUGAUUCCUUUAAAAAAAUGUAACCUCAAUGCCUUUAGCACACCUAGAUUAAAAACAAAAGAAAAAACCUUAACACCAUCAAAUAUGCAGUCAGUGUUCUCAUUUCCGUGUCUCCUAAAUACUACUCACGGCGCCCUGGGGAGGGCACUGGCAGGAGCAACAUCGGCCGUAGGAUGCCAGUGGGCCUGGCUGUGGCCUGGAUGAGGCGGGUGCCAAAGGUUCGAGGCCGGGGCGGAUUGUGAGAGAUGGCCAGGAGGCGUGGGGGCUGCAGGCGAGCGCUCAGCAGAGGGGACGGAGUCCUCCCCCAUUCCUUCGCAGCCCAUGGGAAAGGAGAGGCUGCAGGAAGAGGUGCGGUGGCAGCAGCCCUUGCGGGAGAAGUGAGUUCUUCCUGAAUGCUGGCCAGUGCUCAUUAUCAGUAAACAGAAGUGGACAUGCGUCACCUCAGCAGGCAGGCUCCCUGGGAUGAGACUGGACUUCCUCCGGAGGUCCCACAAAUCAUGCAGCCAGUCCUACCUGGCACCAACCUGCCAACUGUGUGGAUUCCUGCGGCAUCCCCAGUGAAGAAGAGAAAGAAAAUCCCAACUGAUCCAGCUAGUGGACUUCGAAAGCAGCUGUCAGCUGCCAGUGAAGAUGCGACUCCUUCCCCUGGCACCAGAGGCUUAGACAACACGCAAGAGGCAUCGGAAGGCGGGACGCCCCUCCUCCCUCCCCAGUUAACUUCUCUAAAAUAUCUAUGAGGUCUACGUGCACGCGGAGGCAAUGCGCCAGUGACUCAGAAGAAGAGGCUAUGCGUCCACCUGGUGACGGGACCUCUGGGUGCCUCAGAGACUACCCCCCAGGAGCCCUCACCUCUGGGCAGUGGGCGCCACCUGGAGGCCACCUCAAGACCUGCAGGGAUGCUGCAGGCACUUAGGAAGAUGGCAAAAUCCUUUCAUUCUAUUUUAUCCUUUAUUAAGCCACUGCUGUGUGUUAGGCUCUGGUGACUUGGGUAGAAAUAAAGCUAACGUCUGGUCGCCCAUGAAAUUUAUGGCUUGAUGGAGAAGACAGACCCUUCACAAAUAAUUC